UACGUAGGGGGCAAGCGUUGUCCGGAAUCAUUGGGCGUAAAGAGCGUGUAGGCGGCCAGAUAAGUCCGCUGUGAAAUCUCGAGGCUCAACUUCGAGCUGUCGGUGGAAACUGUCUGGCUAGAGUCCGGAAGAGGAGAAUGGAAUUCCUGGUGUAGCGGUGAAAUGCGCAGAUAUCAGGAGGAACACCUGUGGUGUAGACAGCUUACUGGACCAUCACUGACGCUGAGACACGAAAGCGUGGGUAGCAAACAGG
rnacentral:rRNA from 1 species